rnacentral:rRNA from 1 species
UGGAUAAGGCAUGCAAGUCAAACGGUGUAGCAAUACACAGUGGCAGACGAGGUAGUAAUAAGUAGGUACCAACCCUAAAGUCAGGGAUACCUCAUCGAAAGAUGAGUUAAUACUUGAUAGCCUCUUCGGAGUAAAGAUUUAUCGCUUUAGGAUGGGCCUGCUCGGUAUCAGCUAGUUGGUGAGGUAAAAGCUCACCAAGGCUAUGACGCCUAGGGGACCUGAGAGGGUGACCCCUACCGAUGGAACUGAGACACGGCCCAUACACCUACGGGUGGCUGCAGUCGAGAAUCUUCCACAAUGGACGAAAGUCUGAUGGAGCGACGCCGCGUGAUCGAUGAAGUGCUUCGGUAUGUAAAGAUC